GGCAAAAACACCCUCCUAACAUGACCCUGUUGCAGUCACUGACAUGCUGCAUAUUACUUUAUAUUUCAUGUGCUCAAUCACAAACACCAGUGCUGAGCCCUCAAGUUGGAUCUGUUACUCAAGGGCAGAGUUAUACAUUUAACUGCAUUGUAGGUGUUAAGGAUUCAAGUGGUAUGGCAUUCUUAAUACAAUCACCAGGGGAGUCUCCUAAACUAAUAUUUACCAACCAUCACACACUCUCAUCACCCAACUAUGGACCUGGGAUGUCAUCAGCUCAUUUCACUGGCACAAUAAACAGUGCUGGAACUGAAUAUCAGCUGAUUAUUAAAGAUACACAGAUUGCAGACACAGCUCUGUAUCACUGUGCAAAAUGGUAUGACAGUCUUAGCGCAUAA